CCGACCCCGAGGACGUCUUUCCAGUCGCCCUGCAGAUGAACUCGCAUCCGGAUACGACGUCACCCAGUGAAUCAGUCCACCCUGCGGGACCUGACUCCAGCUCGGGCGGGAGGGGCGAAGGGCCGGAGCCCCAGCCGUAAGCGGUAAGCCCAAUCCGCCCUCGCGGCUCUGGAGCCGGUCGCGAGGCGGAGCGCGCUCAGCAGCACGCGCGCGGCAAAGUGGCCGCCGCCUGCCGCCAGGAGUGCACCAGCGGCCGCUUCCGCUCCCGGGCCGUGUUGCCCAGCACGGGAGGCAGCCCCGGGCCGGCCCAGCGGUGCAGCGCGGCCGGUCACGAGCCGCCACCGGCGCUUUCAGCCCCCGGUGACGCCAGGCGCCCUGCUCGCAUCUCGCGCUCCGUGGGCUGCAGCUCAGGUCCCAGGAGCACCGUGGCGCCUCCCACCAGUGCGAUCUCUCUGGGGCAGGCUCGCCGGAAGUGAAACAGGCCGAGCAGCGCCGGCAGGUGCCCCACCUCAAGUGAGAUGGCCGUGGCUGAAGCUGCUGAAGGUGGUCUGAGCAGUUGCGGCCACCGUGGAAGAGCUGCGGGAGCUCCAUCUCCCUUCCCUUCUCAGACAUUUUCAAAUGUGCCUGUCUUGCGGUUGCCAUUUAUAGGGUGGUCCUGUUUGAAUGUCUCUGUGACAAAGAUGGAGAUACAAUGACGGAUCUCCUUUUGAGAAAGGACCUGUGGCCAGCUAUGGGCCUACAGUCAACAGUCAGCCUCCAGCAUCAGCUCCUUCAGGACCUGCCCGAAAUGCAAAGAGCCAUCUUGCUCAAGGUCAUACCUUCCUGUGGCAGCCCAUAUGUGGAACAAAGUCAAAGUAAAAAGGUAGGGCCAUUUCAGAUGAUACAAAGUCGAAAUUUUGGUCCAGAACCCCUGCUGAGGUUGGUGGAGACUUUGCCAGGUUGGCAUCAUUCACCUUCUUCUCACCAAUCCUCCUUCCUUCCUCUUUCUGUUAUGCGCAUCCAUUUCUAGUAAAUAUCUUA